GAUGAACGCUAGCGGGAGGCCUAACACAUGCAAGCUGAGCGGUAGAGAUCUUUCGGGAUCUUGAGAGCGGCGUACGGGAGCGGAACACGUGUGCAACCUGCCUUUAUCAGAGGGAUAGCCUUUCGAAAGGAAGAUUAAUACCUCAUAAUAUAAUGAAUGGCAUCAUUUAUUAUUGAAAACUCCGGUGGAUAGAGAUGGGCACGCGCAAGAUUAGAUAGUUGGUGAGGUAACGGCUCACCAAGUCGAUGAUCUUUAGGGGGCCUGAGAGGGUGAUCCCUCACACUGGUACUGGGACACGGACCAGACUCCUACGGGAGGCAGCAGUGAGGAAUAUUGGACAAUGGGUUAGCGCCUGAUCCAGCCAUCCCGCGUGAAGGACGACGGCCCUAUGGGUUGUAAACUUCUUUUGUACAGGGAUAAACCUACCCUCGUGAGGGUAGCUGAAGGUACUGUACGAAUAAGCACCGGCUAACUCCGUGCCAGCCGCCGCGGUAACAC
rnacentral:rRNA from 1 species